rnacentral:rRNA from 1 species
UACGUAGGGUGCAAGCGUUGUUCGGAAUUACUGGGCGUAAAGCGCGCGUAGGCGGGCUUGCAAGUCGAUUGUGAAAGCCCUGGGCUUAACCCGGGAAUGGCAGUCGAAACUGCAAGUCUUGAGUGCCUGAGAGGAUGGCGGAAUUCCCGGUGUAGAGGUGAAAUUCGUAGAUAUCGGGAGGAACACCAGUGGCGAAGGCGGCGACCUGGACGGACAUUGACGCUGAGACGCGAAAGCGUGGGGAGCAAACAGG